GAGUUUUCUCGAAGUCUCUCUCUCUCUCCCUUUCAAGGUCUUCAAGCUAAUUAGUAUCCAAGAAAAUUAUGGGUCUUUUGAGUUGGGAAUUUUUCUUCUCUUCUUUUGUGACUCUACAUAGCAAUGGGAGGUUGCAAUUAUCCAGUAUGUGACACACGUCACUCAUUGGCAUGUCCACUUAGGAUGACAUUUGGACCCCAUGUGGCACUUAUCCAUUCAUGUUUCUUGGGAAAAAGAUGAUCAUGGUGGGUUAUUAAAUUUGAAGAGAGAAACAGAAUGUUAAUUGCUAGGAAAAACCAUAUCUCAGAUAAAAGGAAAAGAAAAGAUCUUAUAAAAUAGAAUAAAUAAAGAUUGAGCCUUCUUUCUCUUCUUUCCUUUUCUUGUCGAUGAUGGCACAUGGGCGGCACAGCCAGUGGCGUCUAGUGGAGGACUAUAUAUUUAUGCACAUGCUCGAUGUUUCUACGAGACAACUAAUCUAUUUUGUCUUCUUUCCUGCUUUUUUCCCUGCAAAUGGUAUCUGUUUUUAUCAGCUGUAAGUGUUUUUGUGGAAACUGAAUUGGUUAGGCAGCCAGAGAUAUAGCUAGUUUUGUUAACAAGGUGUAGAUAAGAUUAUAAUGGACUGUAGGAAGAAUGGGUCUUCUUCUUCUUCUUCUUCUUCUUCUUCUUCUUCAUUCACAGCUGAUCUUUUUGGCACCAAGGAGCCACCACCUUCUACUUCAACUGGGAUUUUUGCUUCCAUCUUUCCACCACCAUCCACGGUUUUAGGGAGGAAAUCCUCAAGCUCUGAGGUGAUAGGAUCUUGGCAAAAGCAGCCCCUUGAAAAUCAAGGGUGGAACACCAAACAAGUAGCUCCAGCUGUGACUAGCGAGGCAGCAAGCUAUAACAUGCCUGACGAGAACAAGAAUUCUAUUUUUAUGGAAGAAAGAGCAGAACCAUGUCAUCUAAGUUCAUCACUUUACUAUGGUGGGCAAGACAACUAUUCUCAGCCCCCAAGUAGCCAUUCUGGAUCAUAUCCCAUGUUCAAGAAAGAUGGGGGAGAAGAUGAUCCUAACGGCAACAAUUCAAACGGUGCUUCUAGAGGAAAUUGGUGGCAAGGUUCACUUUAUUAUUAGGACCUUGCCUUCCCUUGUCAUAUGAAUUCUUAAUCUAUUUUUUAAGGUAAACACAUAAUCUUUUUAAGACAAGAUAGAUGAGUCUUUUUCAUUCUGUAUAAAUUCAAUUGCUUUAAUUUUUCAGCUGAUCAGCAGGAAUAUAACAACAUGUGUUCAAUCUCCUCCCCCAUCUUAAUCACACCCAACCAAAAACCAGGAAAAAAAGGAGAGAUAAUAGGAGAAGGGAGAGGAGGGACACUGAUACAACCUAAACAAAUUGAAGGAAUUCAUGAAGCCUAGGUGACAAUAACGAAAAUAUGCAAAAUAAAGAAGCAGCUGAUGUUGUUAGAUCCUUGAAAUGCUUUCCCCAGUAAAGACAUUCAAGUUCCAUGAUUUUGAAAUGAGUGUGGCCUCAAUGAAAGACAAGUUGAAGAAACUGUGCAACAGUAGUGAACUCUUUCUGCUCUUGGCCAAUUUACCUGGGCCAUUGAAUAUUGUUUUGAUGCUCUUUUUAUAAGCAUGUAAGAAAUAUCAAUAUAUAGAUGAUUUUUGAGCC